GACGAACGCUGGCGGCGUGCCUAAUACAUGCCAGUCGAGCGAAGUUUUUCUGGUGCUUGCACUAGAAAAACUUAGCGGCGAACGGGUGAGUAACACGUAAAGAACCUGCCUCAUAGACUGGGACAACUAUUGGAAACGAUAGCUAAUACCGGAUAACAGUAUUUCUCGCAUGGGAGAUAUUUAAAAGUUGGUUAUGCUAACACUAUGAGAUGGCUUUGCGGUGCAUUAGCUAGUUGGUGGGGUAAAGGCCCACCAAGGCGACGAUGCAUAGCCGACCUGAGAGGGUGAUCGGCCACACUGGGACUGAGACACGGCCCAGACCCCUACGGGAGGCAGCAGUAGGGAAUCUUCCGCAAUGGGCGAAAGCCUGACGGAGCAACGCCGCGUGAGUGAAGAAGGAUUUCGGUUCGUAAAGCUCUGUUGUUAGGGAAGAAUGGAUAUGUAGUAACUAUACAUGUAAGAGACGGUACCUAACCAGAAAGCCACGGCUAACUACGUG
rnacentral:rRNA from 1 species